CCUUGACGGAGAUCCCCGCCUGCCACCUGCAUUCCUCCCCAGAGGAUGCUCUGCCGCCUCGGCGGAAAGUUGAAUUGGCCCUUCCAGAGCCUCCUCUGCGCACAUUGAUCCAAGAAUCCCAAGUGAGAAGGUGCUGUUGAGAAGUUGGGCUGCGAGAACCCACGAUCUCUGGACCCCAUGGACCAUCCUCUGCAGGCUGUUGUCCCUGCCAGAAGUACAAGCAACACAAUUGCCAGACUUCCUGCUACCAAGAGGAGGAAUCAUCAUCUAAUAAUUGGAUUGUGGGGGGUAAGGCCUUGGGCCCCCAGGCAGUAUCUGGCCAUACCCCACCUGUACCCACCAGUGGGGACAGAGAGAGCAGGAAGGCUAUUGGGCUGUCAAGCCCUGGGCUCUGUGCUUUCCUGACCCCAUGCCUCUGCCUGGGGAAAAGGGAGCAGUGAGGAGGGAAGUGGAGAGUGGGUGAUCCUGGGCUCCCCUGGCACUCUGUCAAGCUCUGGCUCUCUCUUGCCCACUGUUCCAGCUCCUCACCUCUGCAGGGCCCCAGGCCUGUUCAGCCAGAUCCUGGUCCUCUUGCAAACAAGGAAAUAAAUUUCCCCCACGCUGGCUGGGGCCCUACUUGGGUAUCUCCAUUAUGGACAGUUUGUCUCCACAGCAUGACACCCUGUGAGCCCCAUGGGCCCAUUACUGUUCCCUGCAGCUCUGCCCUGUGAGGCCCCAUCCUGGUUUCCAAGGCAAGAUGGGGACCCUUGAGCCUACAUGCCCCCAGCCAAGACCCUGGAGAGGGUUUGGAGACUCUUGUUAGCAAGUUGUGGGAGACACCUGGGUUUGCUUUUGUUUUGGGGUUCUUAAAUUUAGGGAUUCCACCCUUAUCUUGUGCAGACACAAGUCAGAUUUUUGUAAUUGCAGAUAGAUGGAAGUGUUUGGGCAUCAGAGGAAGGUUGCACUGGCCCUUCAUCCAGUGGGAACUUCUACACACAGAUAUUACUUUCUGCCCACAAUUGAGACUCCCAAGUAGGUUCCACUAGCCCUGUCCCACAAGAGCCCAGAUAUUCCCUGGCAGUAUUUCUUUACCAAGAACUGGGCUGCCUUGGGGACCAGGUGGGUGAGCACAAGGGAUACCUGGCCUCUCUGUCCUGAGACCCCCCUUAACUAUGACCCUCACAGCCAUGUCCACCAGCAACCUGGCAGGCAAGACAAUGGCACAACCUCCUUUCAUUGCAUUUAGGGAGAAAACGACCGGCCUCUCUCUCUGAAGGAGUGCAGAAAAUACACAUUAUUCAAGCAAGUUUGCAUGAGGCAAGCCUAGAGCUUUUACACAGGGCUGGAUGUUGAGCAGAGAGCUAAGGAUGAGGCUUGCACUCUCCUUGGGAAAAUAGCCUAAAGCCCCCAGGAUCUAAACCUUGCAGGAAGGAGGCCAGACUUGGCUGGGCUAGAAAGAGUUUUUCUGAUGUCUCCUUACCCCAGCACCCCUAAUUUAAAAUACAGAUCCCUGAGGUGC